rnacentral:rRNA from 1 species
GACGUAGGAGGCGAGCGUUGUCCGGAUUCAUUGGGCGUAAAGAGCUCGUAGGCGGCUUGUCACGUCGGGUGUGAAAGCCCGGGGCUUAACCCCGGGUCUGCAUUCGAUACGGGCUGGCUAGAGUGUGGUAGGGGAGAUCGGAAUUCCUGGUGUAGCGGUGAAAUGCGCAGAUAUCAGGAGGAACACCGGUGGCGAAGGCGGAUCUCUGGGCCUUACCUGACGCUGAGGCGCGAAAGCUAGGGGAGCGAACAGG